rnacentral:rRNA from 1 species
ACUCCUACGGGAGGCAGCAGUGGGGAAUAUUGGACAAUGGGGGCAACCCUGAUCCAGCCAUGCCGCGUGUGUGAAGAAGGCCUUUUGGUUGUAAAGCACUUUAAGCAGGGAGGAGAGGCUAAUGGUUAAUACCCAUUAGAUUAGACGUUACCUGCAGA